rnacentral:rRNA from 1 species
GAACGAACGCUGGCGGCGCGCCUAAUACAUGCAAGUCGAACGAGAAGCUGUAGCAAUACAGUUGUACAGUGGCGAACGGGUGAGGAAUACAUGGGUGACCUACCCUCGAGUGGGGAAUAACCAGCCGAAAGGUUGGCUAAUACCGCGUACGCUUCCCAGUCUACGGGUUGGGAAGGAAAGCGAUGCCGUGGGUAUCGCGCUCAAGGUUGGGCUCAUGUCCUAUCAGCUUGGNGGUGGGGUAACGGCUCACCAAGGCAACGACGGGUAGCUGGUCUGAGAGGACGAUCAGCCACACUGGCACUGCGACACGGGCCAGACUCCUACGGGAGGCAGCAGUAAGGAAUAUUGCGCAAUGGGCGAAAGCCUGACGCAGCGACGCCGCGUGGGGGAUGAAGGUC